rnacentral:rRNA from 1 species
AUUGAACGCUGGCGGAAUGCUUUACACAUGCAAGUCGAGCGGCAGCGCGGGGCAACCUGGCGGCGAGCGGCGAACGGGUGAGUAAUGCAUCGGAACGUACCCCGUCGUGGGGGAUAACUACCCGAAAGGGUAGCUAAUACCGCAUACGGACCUGAGGGUGAAAGCGGGGGACCGAAAGGCCUCGCGCGAUGGGAGCGGCCGAUGCCGGAUUAGCUAGUUGGUAGGGUAAAGGCCUACCAAGGCGACGAUCCGUAGCUGGUCUGAGAGGACGACCAGCCACACUGGAACUGAGACACGGUCCAGACUCCUACGGGAGGCAGGCAGUGGGGAAUUUUGGACGAAUGGGCGAAAGCCUGAUCCAGCCAUUCCGCGUGAGUGAAGAAGGCCUCGG